rnacentral:rRNA from 1 species
UGGGGAAUUUUGGACAAUGGGGGAAACCCUGAUCCAGCCAUCCCGCGUGUGCGAUGAAGGCCUUCGGGUUGUAAAGCACUUUUGGCAGGAAAGAAACGUCAUGGGUUAAUACCCCGUGAAACUGACGGUACCUGCAGAAUAAGCACCGGCUAACUACGUGCCAGCAGCCGCGGUAAUACGUAGGGUGCAAGCGUUAAUCGGAAUUACUGGGCGUAAAGCGUGCGCAGGCGGUUCGGAAAGAAAGAUGUGAAAUCCCAGAGCUCAACUUUGGAACUGCAUUUUUAACUACCGGGCUAGAGUGUGUCAGAGGGAGGUGGAAUUCCGCGUGUAGCAGUGAAAUGCGUAGAUGUGCGGAGGAACACCGAUGGCGAAGGCAGCCUCCUGGGAUAACACUGACGCUCAUGCACGAAAGCGUGGGGAGCAAACAGG